AAGUCGUAACAAGGUUUCCGUAGGUGAACCUGCGGAAGGAUCAUUACCAAUAUAGCGAACCGAGCGUUAGCGAGGCUUCGCGAUCAAAUUGUAUUUAAAACCCAACUCUUUAAAUGUAUAUUAUUAUUGUAUUCUAAAUAAUAAAAGAUCACUUUCAACAACGGAUCUCUUGGCUCUC
rnacentral:misc_RNA from 1 species